UAAUAAAAUGAAACAGUCUAAAGGUGCCAGUUGACUGGCAGUUGUGAGAGCUCCUGGUCCUAGAAUCACAGUCUUCCAAAUGCACUGCCAAGCGUAGAUGUUUAUUACUGCACAGAUAAUGAAGAGUAUUUCAGGCUGGUAAAGUAUUGGUGCGCCUGGUAGAAGAACUUCAUGGUGCUGAUGCCCAGGGCUAUCCAUUGAGUGGUUUCUUUAAGACCGUCAUCAUUUUCAGGUCACUUAUCAUAGGCGAUUGGGCAUAAUCAGUGACUGCAGAAUAAGAUUGCACUGACAGAGAGAGAAGGAAUAGAAUUGAAGAUGUUAUUCAAGUACUCUGAGGGAAGUAAUUAUGAACAUUUUGUCAAUGAAGAAACUGCAGUGAUUUUUUUUCACCGCUCAAGGGUUAAGCGACUUUGCCGAGGUCAUCAGUCAAGAUGACAGCCCAUCUGCCAGCUGCUCAAUCCCCAAAUUCUAACAACAACCAGGACUGGACUCUUAGAGGUCAGAAGCCAGGAGUCAUCACCUGCUGCCUGGUCUGCACAGCAGUAAGCUGGAGUCAGGAACACACAUGGGACUUGCACCCAAGACAUUGCCAUAUGUGAUGCUGGCAUCUUAACUGGCAUUGUUAACUACAAAGCCAAAUGUCUGUACCAAAACUGACAUCUAUUUAUCCUAGAGAAACUAAAAAGUUUAAC